AGCGGAAACAUAAACCAGACCAAACUCAACAGGUGCUUGCCUACAAAGGGAGCAUUUAAACCAUCCCUAGUCAGAGAGCAAUUGCUGAUACAAGUGGUCCAGAUUUGAGUGCUGAAACCUUGCCACGAAGGGUCAAAAUAAUCUCAGCCUCUAAGUAAACCUGAAAUGCAGUCGAGGCCAUAAGGACUGCAACAUACAGUUGAAUUCUAGGGCUGUACUAGGCUCAUAGACAAUGGACUGAGGGUCGGGGGACAUGACAUACUGAGACACCAGCUGUGGCAGCCAAGGGAUUGCUGGCAUCACCCAUUCCCUAGACUCAAGCUGCACAACAUAAGGCUCCAAAAGAGACCCCUGUCUUCUGCUUAGGGAGAGGAGAGGGAAAAGUGGAGAGGACUUUUUUAUACAUCUAGAUAACAGCUCAGCCACAGCAAGACAGGGCAACAGUUGGAGUUGUGAGGCCCCCAUUCCAGGCCCUAUCUCCCAGAUAACAUUUCUAGACACACUCUGGGCCAGAAGGGAUGCCAUUGCCUUGAAGGAAAGGACCCAGACCUGCCAGCAUUUAUCACCUGCUAUGUGAGGAGACCCAGGACUUGACUCUUGGAUGGCAUUUCGUGACCUGCCCUGGACCAAAGAGGUGCCCACUACGCUGAAGGAAUUGCAGAAUGAACAAGAAUUUCCCAACCAACUAUCUGCUGCCUUCAAGAGUCUCACCUGCCACAAAAUGACUCACAUAAACUUAAGGUAAUUGUGUCUGUGUACUAUGUGACACUCCCAUUGGAUGCAUCCUCCAAUCUGGAAAGAGUUAAUUUCCUAAACCUUAAACUGGUUGGCUUAGUAUUGGGCUCAGGGGAAGGAAACCCAAACAGUCAUGAAACUGGAGCCUCUGAUGAUGGCCCCUUCUGCUGGGAACCCUUAGAUAGGCCUCCGAGGGAGAUCUGACUGCCGUUUCCCCAGGACAGCGCCACCUAUCAACAGGAAACAGAAUAUUCAGGUACUACAUGAAGAAAUGUAAAAUUGCACCUAUUUCCAGGACUCCUAAUAAGAGAAUAAAUCCAAUGAAUAGAAAACCAAUGGAGGAAGAAUCAGCAAGACAUGUAAGACUGAAAACUAGAGAGCACUUUGAAAAGCUGCUUAUCAAACGGAGUGCAAUAAAGAUAGG